rnacentral:sRNA from 1 species
AGAGAGAGGGGCUGAGAAGCUGUGGCAGGACAAGAUGGCAGAAAGGAAGUUGUUCCACAUUUUUCUACACUGGAGAUUACCCCCAAGUAUGAUGUAGUCCUCCUGCCUCUGCUGCACAGGCGCAUAGCACCACGUCCAAAUAGAGGUGUGUGUCAGAACUCAGGCGUUCUGGCACAGACGGGCGAAUCCACUGAUGGACACACAGCAUAACAACUAAGGGGAGUGGAGGCAACUGGCCUAAUUACGGUGAUCUUUCCCAGAGGGACAAUGGAGGACUUUGUGAAAACAUCUGGCUUCAAGCAUUUUGGAUAAUGGACUUGUAACCUAUUCCUGUAUUAUUCAUAUUACAACGGCAUUUUCUAAACUUCAUAUGGUGCCCUUUUGAAAUGUAAUUGCUUGAGCACUCUGAGUUCUAAGAGUAGAGUGUGUGUGUGUGUGUGUGUGU